AGUGAACGCUGGCGGCAGGCCUAACACAUGCAAGUCGAACGGCAGCACAGUAAGAGCUUGCUCUUACGGGUGGCGAGUGGCGGACGGGGGAGGAAUACAUCGGAAUCUACUUUUUCGUGGGGGAUAACGUCGGGAAACUUACGCUAAUACCGCAUACGACCUACGGGUGAAAGCAGGAGAUCUUCGGACCUUGCGCGAUUGAAUGAGCCGAUGUCGGAUUAGCUAGUUGGCGGGGUAAAGGCGCACCAAGGCGACGAUCCGUAGCUGGUCUGAGAGGAUGAUCAGCCACACUGGAACUGAGACACGGUCCAGACUCCUACGGGAGGCAGCAGUGGGGAAUAUUGGACAAUGGGGGCAAGCCUGAUCCAGCCAUACCGCGUGGGUGAAGAAGGCCUUCGGGUUGUAAAGCCCUUUUGUUGGGAAAGAAAAGCAGCAGGUUAAUACCCCGCUGUUCUGACGGUACCCAAAGAAUAAGCACCGGCUAACUUCGUG
rnacentral:rRNA from 1 species